UACAGAGGGGGCAAGCGUUGUUCGGAAUUACUGGGCGUAAAGGGCGCGUAGGCGGCCUUCUAAGUCAGACGUGAAAUCCCUCGGCUCAACCGGGGAACUGCGUCUGAGACUGGAAGGCUUGAAUCCGGGAGAGGGAUGUGGAAUUCCAGGUGUAGCGGUGAAAUGCGUAGAUAUCUGGAGGAACACCGGUGGCGAAGGCGGCAUCCUGGACCGACACUGACGCUGAGGCGCGAAAGCUAGGGGAGCAAACGGG
rnacentral:rRNA from 1 species